UUACCAAAAACAUCGCCUUUAGAAAUAGAUUUAAGGUUCUGCCUGCCCGGUGACAAUAGUUAAACGGCUGCAGUAUUACUGACUGUGCAAAGGUAGCAUAAUCAUUCGCCUGUUAAUUGCAGGCUAGUAUCAACGGCUAGACGACAGAGAGACUGUCUCUCUUUAUUUAACUCGAAAUUGAUUUUAAGGUGAAGAGACCUUAAUUAGUAAGUGGGACAAGAAGACCCUAUAGAGCUUUACCUUAAAAUAAUAAAUUGUUAUAGUAAAAGGUUUGGUUGGGGCAACCUCCCCUCUUUUAUAACAGGGGAUUAAUAUAAUGAUUUGAGUCUAUAUAGAUGGACCCAGAAGUUUCUGAGCAAAAGAAAAAGUUACCUUAGGGAUAACAGCGUAA
rnacentral:rRNA from 1 species